UUGGGCGUAAAGAGCUCGUAGGCGGUUUGUCGCGUCUGCUGUGAAAUCCGGAGGCUCAACCUCCGGCCUGCAGUGGGUACGGGCAGACUAGAGUGCGGUAGGGGAGAUUGGAAUUCCUGGUGUAGCGGUGGAAUGCGCAGAUAUCAGGAGGAACACCGAUGGCGAAGGCAGAUCUCUGGGCCGUAACUGACGCUGAGGAGCGAAAGGGUGGGGAGCAAACAGGCUUAGAUACCCUGGUAGUCCACCCCGUAAACGUUGGGAACUAGUUGUGGGGUCCAUUCCACGGAUUCCGUGACGCAGCUAACGCAUUAAGUUCCCCGCCUGGGGAGUACGGCCGCAAGGCUAAAACUCAAAGGAAUUGACGGGGACCCGCACAAGCGGCGGAGCAUGCGGAUUAAUUCGAUGCAACGCGAAGAACCUUACCAAGGCUUGACAUAUACGAGAACGGGCCAGAAAUGGUCAACUCUUUGGACACUCGUAAACAGGUGGUGCAUGGUUGUCGUCAGCUCGUGUCGUGAGAUGUUGGGUUAAGUCCCGCAACGAGCGCAACCCUCGUUCUAUGUUGCCAGCACGUAAUGGUGGGAACUCAUGGGAUACUGCCGGGGUCAACUCGGAGGAAGGUGGGGAUGA
rnacentral:rRNA from 1 species